CAGAUAUUUCCCGGCUCUGUCGGAACGGCUACUACACCCCCACGGGCAAGUGCUGCUGCAGUCCUGGCUGGGAGGGAGACUUCUGCAGAAUUGCCAAAUGUGAGCCACCUUGUCGUCACGGAGGUGUCUGUGUCAGACCAAACAAGUGCCUCUGUAAAAAGGGCUAUCUCGGCCCUCAGUGUGAACGAGCGGACAGGAGCAUGCGCAGAGUGACCAGGGCAGGUAUUCUUGACCAGAUCAUUGACGUGACGUCUUACUUGCUGGAUCUCACAAGUUACAUCGUAUAGUUUCUGGGACGGUUUGAGUCUAUCUUUCCGGUGGGCAUUCCGAUCUUGUCAUGAAAAAAGAGAGACUGUCCUUCCGCUACACACUCCUGCGACUUCAUUUCCUUUCGGUAAUUUAAAAGCAAUCUCCAGAAAUGUACAGGUCUCAGCAUGUAUGUUGGAACGUUUUUUUCACAUCUGCACAUGCACUCACAGCCCCAGACUCAAGGUUGUAUAACAGAAGGGUGUUUUGUUUUGUUUUUAAUAUCUACUCUCUUGGCGUGUACUUUGCACAGAAGUUCCACUGCAAAUUGAUCACAGAGUUUCUUAUGGCAUCAGAAGAUAUUCUUUUACGUUUCGGGAAAUUUCUGUCUGUGAUUACUAAAGUCAACCUUCCUAGGGUUUUAAAAUGUUAUUGUGCAAUGUGGUGGGGGUAUUUUUAUAUUAAAGGUCUAUAAUGAGAG
rnacentral:lncRNA from 1 species